ACAACACACAGCAUUAACUCAACCACACAAAUCUAAUCAAAAUUGAUCAACACAUUUUACAGUUAAUUAUUUUUAGAUGAAAGCCGAUAGCCUAGUGGUUAGUGAGGCGAGACAGCAACCAGAGGGUUGCCAGUUCGAAUCCCGGGUCUGACAGGACAAAUCUGUCCCGUAAGUCAGCUGGCAACUCGGAGGGGUUACAUGUAUCAAACCCUAGAUACCACGGCUUGCCGUUGUGCACUUAACUCCACGGACACCCCCUGUUCCUACCUCUCCAUGUAGUGUAUUGUCUUUAUGAGAGGUUGAGAUAAACAGUCCCCUGUUCCUACCUUCCAUGUAGUGUAUUGUCUUUAGGAGAGGUUGGGAUAAACAGUCCCCUGUUCCUACCUUCCAUGUAGUGUAUUGUCUUUAUGAGAGGUUGGGAUAAACAGUCCCCUGUUCCUACCUCUCCAUGUAGUGUAUUGUCUUUAUGAGAGGUUGAGAUAAACAGUCCUACCUCUCCAUGUAGUGUAUUGUCUUUAGGAGAGGUUGAGAUAAACAGUCCCCUGUUCCUACCUCUCCAUGUAGUGUAUUGUCUUUAGGAGAGGUUGAGAUAAACAGUCCCCUGUUCCUACCUCUCCAUGUAGUGUAUUGUCUUUAGGAGAGGUUGAGAUAAACAGUCCUCUGUUCCUACCUCUCCAUGUAGUGUAUUGUCUUUAGGAGAGGUUGAGAUAAACAGUCCCCUGUUCCUACCUCUCCAUGUAGUGUAUUGUCUUUAGGAGAGGUUGAGAUAAACAGUCCCCUGUUCCUACCUCUCCAUGUAGUGUAUUGUCUUUAGGAGAGGUUGAGAUAAACAGUCCUACCUCUCCAUGUAGUGUAUUGUCUUUAGGAGAGGUUGAGAUAAACAGUCCUACCUCUCCAUGUAGUGUAUUGUCUUUAUGAGAGGUUGAGAUAAACAGUCCUACCUCUCCAUGUAGUGUAUUGUCUUUAUGAGAGGUUGAGAUAAACAGUCCUACCUCUCCAUGUAGUGUAUUGUCUUUAUGAGAGGUUGAGAUAAACAGUCCUACCUCUCCAUGUAGUGUAUUGUCUUUAUGAGAGGUUGAGAUAAACAGUCCUACCUCUCCAUGUAGUGUAUUGUCUUUAUGAGAGGUUGAGAUAAACAGUCCUACCUCUCCAUGUAGUGUAUUGUCUUUAUGAGAGGUUGAGAUAAACAGUCCUACCUCUCCAUGUAGUGUAUUGUCUUUAGGAGAGGUUGAGAUAAACAGUCCUACCUCUCCAUGUAGUGUAUUGUCUUUAUGAGAGGUUGAGAUAAACAGUCCUACCUCUCCAUGUAGUGUAUUGUCUUUAUGAGAGGUUGAG